rnacentral:misc_RNA from 1 species
CCGAGUGAGGGCCUCCGGGCCCGACCUCCCACCCUUGUGUUGUCCGACCGCGUUGCUUCGGGGCCUGCCGGCGACGGCGCCCCGGAGGACCGUCCAACUCUGCGUGACUGCGUCCGAGUCUUCAGAAAAUGAAACAA